rnacentral:rRNA from 1 species
UACGAAGGGGGCUAGCGUUGCUCGGAAUCACUGGGCGUAAAGCGCACGUAGGCGGAUCUUUAAGUCAGGGGUGAAAUCCCAAGGCUCCAACCUUGGAACUGCCUUGAUACUGGGGAUCUCGAGUCCGGAAGAGGUUGGUGGAACUCCGAGUGUAGAGGUGAAAUUCGUAGAUAUUCGGAAGAACACCAGUGGCGAAGGCGGUCUGCUGGGCCGUUGCUGACGCUGAGGCGCGACAG